GGAAUAUUGGACAAUGGGCGCAAGCCUGAUCCAGCCAUGCCGCGUGCAGGAUGACGGUCCUAUGGAUUGUAAACUGCUUUUAUACGAGAAGAAACACUGCUACGUGUAGCAGCUUGACGGUAUCGUAAGAAUAAGGAUCGGCUAACUCCGUGCCAGCAGCCGCGGUAAUACGGAGGAUCCAAGCGUUAUCCGGAAUCAUUGGGUUUAAAGGGUCCGUAGGCGGUUUAAUAAGUCAGUGGUGAAAGCCCAUCGCUCAACGGUGGAACGGCCAUUGAUACUGUUAGACUUGAAUUAUUAGGAAGUAACUAGAAUAUGUAGUGUAGCGGUGAAAUGCUUAGAGAUUACAUGGAAUACCAAUUGCGAAGGCAGGUUACUACUAAUUGAUUGACGCUGAUGGACGAAAGCGUGGGUAGCGAACAGGAUUAGAUACCCUGG
rnacentral:rRNA from 1 species